UAUUGGUCAAUAGCCUAACGGCUGAACCAGCAACUUGGAGGAAUGUAUAGGGAAAACUGGUAAAAUGUGAUGUACCUACUAAUAUNNNNNNNNNNUAUGAUAUUAACUAAGUUAAUUAAAAUUCUAAUGGAUAUGUGAUUAUGACAAUAUAUGCUUAUGUCUUGACCAAGUCACGUGCCAGCAGUCGCGGUAAUACGUGGAAGAUUAGUGUUAUUCAUGUUUAACAGGUUUAAAGGGUACCUAGACGGUUGAUUAAGCUUUAAAAGGUACUAAUUAACUAGAGUUUGAUGUAAGAAAGAUUGAGUACGGUGAGUGUAGAGAUAAAAUUCUGUGAUACCACUUAGGAACUGGUAAAGGCGAAGGCAACUUUCUAUGUAAAACUGACGUUAAGGAGCGAAAGCUCGUAUUAAAUAACAGGAUUAGAUACCCUAGUAUUGUGGGCAGACAAUGAUGAGUGUCAUAGACAAGAAAAUNNNNGUGUAUAAAUGAAAGUGUAAGCACUCCACCUCAAGAGUAACGUGGCAACAUGGGAACUGAAAUCAUUAGACCGUUUCUGAAACUCGUAGUGAAGUAUGUUGUUUAAUUAGACAGUACACAAAUAACCUUACCACAAUUUGUAUAACUAUAUAAUAAUAUAGUAACAAGCGUUGCACGGCUGUCUUCAGUUAAUGUUGUGAAACUUUGGUUAGAUCCAUUAAAUUAACGUAAACCCUUACUUU
rnacentral:rRNA from 1 species